AGGGCGUACGGUGAAUGCCUUGGUGCCAACAGGCGAAGAAGGACGCGGCAAGCUGCGAAAAUCCUCGGGAAGCUGCAAGCAAGCGAUGAUCCGGGGGUAUCCGAAUGGGGUAACCUGAUCGAGGCAAUACUCGAUCGUUCAUACCUGAAUACAUAGGGUAUGAAACGCGAAACCCGCUGAAGUGAAACAUCUCAGUAAGCGGAGGAAAAGAAAGAGAAAUCGAUUCCGUAAGUAGUGGCGAGCGAAAGCGGAUGGAGCCCAAACCGAAGGUACUCCUUCGGGGUUGUAGGACCACGAGAUAUUCGACCAUACUGGAUAGUAGAACAGCCUGGAAAGGCUGGCCGUAGAAGGUGAAAGCCCUGUAGACGAAAUCCAGCGUGGGAAUUAGUGGAAUCCUGAGUAAUACAUCACACGUGGAACGAUGUAUGAAUCAGCGCGGACCACCGCGCAAGGCUAAAUACUAGUUGGCGACCGAUAGUGAACAAGUACCGCGAGGGAAAGGUGAAAAGAACCGCUGUGAGCGGAGUGAAAUAGAACCUGAAACCGUAUGUCUACAAAGUGUCAGAGCAGAGCAAUCUGCGAUGGCGUGCCUUUUGUUUAAUGAGUCUGCGAGUCAGUGUUUGUGGCAAGACUAAGGGCUUCCGGCCCGGAGUCGCAGCGAAAGCAAGUCCGAAUAGGGCGAAUUAAGUCGCAGGUACUGGACCCGAAGCGGAGGUGACCUACCCUUGGCCAGGUUGAAGCAUGGGUAAAACCAUGUGGAGGACCGAACAGGUGAACGUUGAAAAGUUCUCUGAUGAGCUGAGGGUAGGAGUGAAAGGCUAAUCAAACCCCGUGAUAGCUGGUUCUCUUCGAAAUGCAUUUAGGUGCAGCGUCACGUGCUGAUGCGCGGGGGUAGAGCACUGACAAGGCUAGGGGGCACACCCGCUUACCAAACCUUAUCAAACUCCGAAUACCGUGCAAUGGAACGUGGCAGUGAGACAGUGGGGGAUAAGCUUCAUUGUCGAGAGGGAAACAACCCAGACCAGCAGCUAAGGUGCCUAAAUAACGCUCAGUGGAAAGGAUGUGGGAUUACACAGACAGUGAGGAUGUUGGCUUAGAAGCAGCCACCAUUUAAAAAAUGCGUAAUAGCUUACUCAUCGAGUGAUCCUGCGCCGAAAAUGAUUGGCGAUCAAGCGUUAUACCGAAGCUCUGGACUUUACCUUACGGUAGAGUGGUAGAAGAGCGUUGCAUGCGCGUUGAAGGGUGAUGGCGACUGACCCUGGAGCACAUGCAAGUGAGUAUGCAGACAUGAGUAACGUAAAGCCGGGUGAAAUCCCCGGCCGCCGUAAACCCGAGGUUUCCAGGGCAACGUGUUUCGUCCCUGGGUUAGCCGGGACCUAAGCCGAGGCCGAGAGGCGUAGGCGAUGGAUAUCAGGUUAAUAAUCCUGAGCUCGCGACCCUUAAACUGGGGGGACGCAUGAGAAAAGAUGACUAGGUUAUUGAAUUCCGAGUUGAGUCCACGGACUCAGCGCAUCAUUGGAUCGAGUGCCAAGAAAAGCCCCAGCGUAUGCUAAGCGACCCGUACCGCAAACCGACACAGGUGGGUGGGUAGAAUAUACCAAGGCGUAAGAGUGAAACCUGGUUAAGGAACUCGGCAAAUUAGCCCCGUAACUUCGGAAGAAGGGGUGCCUGCAGCGAUGCAGGCCGCAGAGAAAUGGCCCAACCGACUGUUUAUCAAAAACACAGCACUCUGCAAAGACGCAAGUCGAAGUAUAGGGUGUGACACGUGACCAAUGCCGAAAGAUUAAGGCAAGGGGUUAGCCGCAAGGCGAAGCUCUGAACCCAAGUCCCGGUGAAUGUCGGCCGUAACUAUAACGGUCCUAAGGUAGCGAAAUUCCUUGUCGGGUAAGUUCCGACCUGCACGAAUCGUGAAACGAGUUGGGCACUGUCUCAACCAGGCGCUCAGUGAAAUUGUAGUGGCGGUGAAGAUGCCGCCUACCCGCAGAAGGACGGAAAGACCCUAUAGACCUUAACUGUAAGCUGUCAUUGUUUCUUCGGUUUUAAUGCUCAGAGUAAGUGG
rnacentral:rRNA from 1 species